UACAGAGGGGGCAAGCGUUAUUCGGAAUUAUUGGGCGUAAAGGGCGCGUAGGCGGCUUGGCAAGUGGAUGGUGAAAUCCCUCGGCUUAACCGAGGAACUGCCGUCCAAACUGCUUCGCUUGAGACCGGGAGAGGUGAGUGGAAUUCCCAGUGUAGCGGUGAAAUGCGUAGAUAUUGGGAGGAACACCAGUGGCGAAGGCGGCUUCCUGGACCGAUACUGACGCUGAGGCGCGAAAGCUAGGGGAGCAAACGGG
rnacentral:rRNA from 1 species